ACUCAGUUGGUAGAGUGCUUGCCUUGCAUGCACAAGGUCCUGGGUUCAAUUCCCAG
rnacentral:tRNA from 1 species